UGAGUGUUUGUCCGAGCAGGCCGCCGGCGAUAAUUCCGGCGAAAAUGCGGUGCCGAAAUCAUCGCGAAUCGGGCUCGCGUUUGAAUGAUAUCCUACGUAAAUAGAUAUUCAAUUAGCUAAACCACGCCGCGAUCAUAUCGCACGAACGCCGGACGGGGAUUUAAUUAUAACCGUCAGUCAGACUCUCUUGCAACGGUGUUGAAAGAUUUCAACGAAAAACCACGAUCUGGUCUCGUGGUAAUGUUAUUCCCAAGGAUAGAUCAUCGGCUUCGUAUAUUCUACGUGCCAAACACGCAUCAAGGACAAUUAGUGCGAGGAUAUCUUUUUCGAUGACGCGAUCGAACGCGAUGAAGAAGUGAACAAAGGAAUACCUCGACUGGAGGGCCUGGAGCGAAAUUGCGGCUAAGAGAGAAAGAGAGAGAAAGAGAGAGAAAAUUUGUCUGUAUACGUACACGUCGAAGGGACAAAUUGGGACAAGGUUUCCGCGACAUCCGGCACUUUGGUUAAAGCCUCUUACAGGACUUUGGGCACGGCAUAAAGAGGCCAAAAGGAUCCGGGAGCCCGGUUCCAGGGGUGGAGAAACUUUGUGUCGAAUGGGACGCGCUCCCUCCGCUAAAUGCCGGGCUGCGGCCCAUUGUUGCACUCAAAAAUGUCAACGGCGUCACGCUUUGAGGACGCUCGACGCUCUGUGCUUCCAAAGAUUUCUUUCUAUACACGGAUUACCAUUGCUCCUCGAGUGCUGCGGGGAUUCGAGAACCUCGAGUAAAGUGCAUUACGGUUCAUCCGCGCAGGGAUCAAGACGACAGGUAGAAAAAUUCGUUGCGUUUAUUCGAUGAACCGGCCUCUCGUAAUCCACGCAACGAGUUGGCCAACAUUUUUUCCGUACAGUGCAAUGGGAGAAAGGAAAUGAUCCGGUGCUCGAGGCAAGAAAUAAUCAUUGACCUAAAUUUUCACCGAACCCUCGUACAGGUCCGAAUCGGACCGAUUUCGUUUCCGAGACGAAGCACGCCUUCCCGUUCAGGAGUCAAGUCAUUCCAAACGGGACUCCAACGGUAUCCGAAGCCUAUCUUUUAUGCAGAAACCUCUAGCUUCGAGUGUACGCAAAGUUCCGUGCGACGGGACGUUGAGAACUAAAACUCUGUGUGCAUUAUUCAGGAACUUGCUACUGGCAUUUCCUCACCGAUGGUACAAAUAACGAGCUAUCACUAUCAAGUUGUCGUCUAUCAUUGAUGCAAUCAAUAGGCCAUGAGAUUGAAGACUCGACUAGUCGAGCCUCUGCACUGCUUGAGAACGAAUGAAUUUUGUAUUCCUUGACGUAUGAGUUACCUAUCCACGCAACGAGCAAAACUUCGUUGAUAGUUGGACUGACGGGAAUAGAACACCGGGAAAUAAAUAGACGAACGACGAUGACGCGUAAUGGCAAAUUUCUUUAUCUUUUUUUUUUACACUAUCUACUUGUCCAUGGAUCGAUACGUUUUUCAACCUCGCAACGCGGAGUUCAGGUGUCGAGAGGAAGGAAGUGGGCAGGCCAAAGUAUCUAGUUCUGUCCUGAGCAUCCUGUCAAGUGGAUCCUCCGCGUACAAAAGGAUCAGACCCAUAAUUGGCUCCUCAAAGCACCUGCGAGCUCGGCUAGACCGUGCUGCAGCAGCAUUCUUUGACCCUUGAGAACCUUGCGCAAGGACCUUUGUCUGCCGAUAUUCGAUACGUUCGGGUCGUAUGCUGCAGGAAAAUUGUCGGAGAGAAAGAAAACUGAGAAGAAGAUCAGAGGGACCCCAAUUUCCACAAUUACGAAAAGGACCCGAUGAAAUACACUGCGGUACAAGCGCAAGGCUUCGAAACUAGGAGACAAAGUUCUGGGCUCUGUAGAAAACUUUUCAUUCACCACGUCGAAGUCCGUUCAACCUACAAUCGGGAACCGGGAAUCGAUUCCUUCGGCACGUAAAGCAGACCGAUUACAACCGAUGGGCUAAACACACGAGGGG